GGACUCUGUAGCUCAGUCGGUUAGAGCGCUGCACCGGAAUGGCAGGCCCGCAGGUUUGAUUCCUGCUAGAGGACCG